AGGGCUGUGAUGAAAUGGUAUCAUGGCGGUCUCCAAAACCGCUCUUCCAGGUUCAAAUCCUGGCAGCCCUGCAA
rnacentral:tRNA from 3 species